rnacentral:rRNA from 1 species
UGGCAAACGGGUGAGUAACGCGUAGACAACCUGCCGUAAAGAUGGGGACAACAGUUCGAAAGGACUGCUAAUACCGAAUGCUUUACGAUGGGUCUGCGUCUGAUUAGCUAGUUGGUGGGGUAACGGCUUACCAAGGCGACGAUCAGUAGCCGGUCUGAGAGGAUGAACGGCCACAUUGGAACUGAGACACGGUCCAGACUCCUACGGGAGGCAGCAGUGGGGAAUCUUCCGCAAUGGGCGCAAGCCUGACGGAGCAACGCCGCGUGAGUGAAGAAGGGUUUCGACUCGUAAAGCUCUGUUGUCGGGGACGCGGUACCUGACGAGGAAGCCACGGCUAACUACGUGCCAGCAGCCGCGGUAAUACGUAGGUGGCGAGCGUUGUCCGGAAUUAUUGGGCGUAAAGGGAGCGCAGGCGGGAGGUCAAGUCUAUCUUAAAAGUGCGGGGCUCAACCCCGUGAGGGGAUGGAAACUGGUCUUCUUGAGUGAGGAGAGGAAAGCGGAAUUCCUAGUGUAGCGGUGAAAUGCGUAGAUAUUAGGAGGAACACCAGUGGCGAAGGCGGCUUUCUGGACUGUAACUGACGCUGAGGCUCGAAAGCGUGGGGAGCGAACAGGAUUAGAUACCCUGGUAGUCCACGCCGUAAACGAUGAAUGCUAGGUGUAGGACUGUGCCGGAGUUAACGCAAUAAGCAUUCCGCCUGGGGAGUACGGCCGCAAGGCUGCAACUCAAAUGAAUUGACGGA